rnacentral:rRNA from 1 species
GACGAACGCUGGCGGCGUGCUUAAUACAUGCAAGUCGAACGGAAAGGCCCUGCUCUUGUGGGGUGCUCGAUUGGCGAACGGGUGAGUAACACGCGUGUAACCUGCCCCUGACUUUGGGAUAACUUUAGGAAACUGGGGCUAAUACCGGAUAGGAGCUUUUGCUGCACGGUGGGGGAUGGAAAGUUUCGGCGGUUGGGGAUGGACUCGCGGCUUAUCAGCUGGUUGGUGAGGUAGUGGCUUACCAAGGCUUUGACGGGUAGGCGACCUGAGAGGGUGGCCGGCCUCAUUGGGACUGAGAUACGGAGCAGACUCCUACGGGAGGCAGCAGUGGAGAAUCUUGCACAAUGAGCGGAAGCCUGUUACGGCAACGCCGCGUGCGUGAUGACGGCCUACGAGUUAUAAACAGCUUUCGCCUGUGACGAAGCGUGAGUGACGGUACUGGGUAAAGAAGCACCGGCUAACUACGUG